rnacentral:rRNA from 1 species
GACCAGACUCCUACGGGAGGCAGCAGUGGGGAAUAUUGCACAAUGGGGGGAACCCUGAUGCAGCGACGCCGCGUGGGUGAAGAAGUCAUUCGUGACGUAAAGCCCUAUCAGCAGGGAAGAAAAUGACGGUACCUGACUAAGAAGCCCCGGCUAACUACGUGCCAGCAGCCGCGGUAAUACGUAGGGGGCAAGCGUUAUCCGGAUUUACUGGGUGUAAAGGGAGCGUAGACGGCGGCGCAAGUCCGGAGUGAAAGCCCACGGCCCAACCGUGGGACUGCUCUGGAAACUGUGCGGCUUGAGUGCGGGAGGGGCAGGCGGAAUUCCUAGUGUAGCGGUGAAAUGCAUAGAUAUUACACAGAACACCGAUUGCGAAGGCAGCUUGCUAGGCCGGAUCUGACACUGAUGCACGAAAGCGUGGGGAUCGAACAGGAUUAGAUACCCGAGUA